rnacentral:rRNA from 1 species
UAAGACGUAGGGCGCGAGCGUUGUCCGGAUUUAUUGGGCGUAAAGAGCUCGUAGGCGGCUUGUCGCGUCGGAUGUGAAAUUUUAGGGCUCAACCCUGACAUUGCAUCCGAUACGGGCAGGCUAGAGUUCGGUAGGGGAGACUGGAAUUCCUGGUGUAGCGGUGAAAUGCGCAGAUAUCAGGAGGAACACCGGUGGCGAAGGCGGGUCUCUGGGCCGAUACUGACGCUGAGGAGCGAAAGCGUGGGGAGCGAACAGGAUUAGAUACCCUGGUAGUCCACGCUGUAAACGUUGGGCGCUAGGUGUGGGGGGCCUCUCCGGUUCUCUGUGCCGCAGCUAACGCAUUAAGCGCCCCGCCUGGGGAGUACGGCCGCAAGGCUA